AACUCCCUAAUGGCCAUAUCUGUUGCCAGCAGCAGUACUUAUGGGGAUUGACGGGAUGGUAACAGAAUUGGAAGAAAGAGGCAUUAUUAAAAGGACUCAUUCACCUUACAAUUCACCGGUGUGGCCGGUAAAGAAACCAACCAGACAAUGGCAUUUUACAGUGGAUUAAAGGCAGUUAAAUGCUAACACCACACCUUUGACUGCCGCAGUUCCAAACACGGCAGAGAGUGAAAGCCUUCUUUGCAUCUAACAGUAGCAAUGGUGCUAACUACUCCAAAAUAUUCCUACACAUGGGAAGUCAAAGAUUGCUAUUUCACCCUCUUUCUAACCCUGCCGGUUGAAUACAACCGAGCAUAUUUUAUUUUAUUUUGUGUUCACAGGAAUCCUGAGUGAACUGCAUGUGGACAGCUGGAGAAUUGCAAGCCAACAGUUUGGAUUAAUAAUGCUAUGCUUUACCCUGACCUUGAUGCAAUUACAGGCCUUAAAGGAAACUUAGCUACUGUGGUUGUGCACGGAGCUGAGGAUGUGAUUUUAGUUACUCAGCUCCUGUAACCUCUUGUCAAUUUAUUGCAUCCAAUUAUAUUCUGCUUCAUGAUCUGCUGCCUACUCCUAUUGGAAUGAACCUUACCUUGGUGAAGAAAUUGGAUGAAAGACUCUGAUUACUGUCCAUCAUGAUGUACAAGAAAUACAUUGAGUUAUGGAAAGAGUAAAAAGAUGAAAAACACCGUUGGUGAGACACUUUGGAUGGUCGCCAGCUGCCACAGGAAUAUUCAGCAAGAUGCUUCACCCUGAUGUUGUUCUGUUAAUACUCACUGUAUUAUGCUUUACGCUGACAAUUAGUUUGUAUGUUAAAUUCUGGAUUAUGAUGAAACGUUUAGCAUCCCUACACAAUGUACAUAUACUCGAUAAACCUCGUCCCGAGAAUGUAUGUGAUAUCCCUGACAUAUUCCAAAUGUCGUGAAGCUUGAGUGACUAUAGUCACGGGGUGGAUUAUGUGGUGCAAUUGACUAAAGUAACUAGGAAAAUAAAACUAACAUUCACAUUUUAAAG